rnacentral:rRNA from 1 species
UACGAAGGGGGCUAGCGUUGCUCGGAAUCACUGGGCGUAAAGGGUGCGUAGGCGGGUUUUUAAGUCAGGGGUGAAAUCCUGGAGCUCAACUCCAGAACUGCCUUUGAUACUGAAAAUCUUGAGUCCGGGAGAGGUGAGUGGAACUGCGAGUGUAGAGGUGAAAUUCGUAGAUAUUCGCAAGAACACCAGUGGCGAAGGCGGCUUACUGGUCCGGAUCUGACGCUGAGGCGCGAAAGCGUGGGGAGCAAACAGG